UGGGGAAUUUUGCACAAUGGGGGAAACCCUGAUGCAGCGACGCCGCGUGAUUUAGAAGGCCUUCGGGUUGUAAAAAUCUUUUCUUUGGGAAGAAAAUGACAGUACCAUAGGAAUAAGGACCGGCUAAUUACGUGCCAGCAGCCGCGGUAAUACGUAAGGUCCGAGCGUUGUCCGGAAUCAUUGGGCGUAAAGGGUACGUAGGCGGGUAAGCAAGUUAGAAGUGAAAUCCUGUAGCUCAACUACAGUAAGCUUUUAAAACUGCUCAUCUUGAGAUAUGGAAGGGAAAGUGGAAUUCCUAGUGUAGCGGUGAAAUGCGCAGAUAUUAGGAGGAAUACCGGUGGCGAAGGCGACUUUCUGGCCAUAAUCUGACGCUGAGGUACGAAAGCGUGGGUAGCAAACAGG
rnacentral:rRNA from 1 species